rnacentral:rRNA from 1 species
AGAGUUUGAUCCUGGCUCAGGAUGAACGCUAGCGGCAGGCUUAACACAUGCAAGUCGAGGGGCAGCAUGUCCAGCAAUGGAUGAUGGCGACCGGCGGAAGGGUGCGUAACGCGUGAGCAACAUGCCCUAUACAGGGAGAUACACCAGGGAAACUUGGUCUAAUAUCCCAUAGCAUUCAUUGAAGGCAUCUUUAAUGAAUUAAAGCUUCGGUGGUAUAGGAUUGGCUCGCGUGACAUUAGCCAGAUGGUGAGGUAACGGCUCACCAUAGCAAUGAUGUCUAGGGGUUUUGAGAGGAAGGCCCCCCACACUGGGACUGAGACACGGCCCAGACUCCUACGGGAGGCAGCAGUGAGGAAUAUUGGACAAUGGAUGGAAAUCUGAUCCAGCCAUGCCGCGUGCAGGAAGACGGCCUUAUGGGUUGUAAACUGCUUUUAUACGGGAGCAAUAAGGGUUACGAGUAAUCCGAUGAGAGUACUGUAUGAAUAAGGAUCGGCUAACUCCGUGCCAGCAGCCGCGGUAAUACGGAGGAUCCGAGCGUUAUCCGGAAUUAUUGGGUUUAAAGGGUGCGUAGGCGGCCAUUUAAGUCAGCGGUGAAAUUUUGCAGCUUAACUGUAACAGCGCCGUUGAUACUGUUUGGCUAGGAUUUGGUUGUAGUGUGCGGAAUGUGUGGUGUAGCGGUGAAAUGCUUAGAUAUCACACAGAACACCGAUUGCGAAGGCAGCGCACUAAGUCAUUAUUGACGCUGAGGCACGAAAGUGUGGGGAUCAAACAGGAUUAGAUACCCUGGUAGUCCACGCUGUA